GCUAUGAUCAUCUAGCCUCCCAUUUGAAACUUUGUUUUGCCUAUUGUUGUUUAUUUCCUAAAGACUAUGAAAUUGAGGUGGAGACAUUAGUUAAGACACUUCACUUACAAGAUUGCCCCAAUCUGACAUCAUUCCCUGAAGGAAUUCGAAGCCUCACCAAUUUGAACGAGCUCGCUAUAAUAGACUGUCCCAUGUUAUUAAAGAGAUGCAAAAGGGAAAAUGGUGAAGAUUUGGAUAAGAUUUCUCAUAUACAACGCUUGUACUUAAUUCCAUAUCCCAACGAAGAGAAAAUGAGAAUGCAUCAGAGAUUAAGGGAUGCAACCCCUUCAAGUAGUUUGGGCUAUAAAUGUUGCAAGGAAUCGAAGAUGAUGGGACAUACAUGAUACAUAUUUAUAGGAUGGUUAAACAUUGAGAAAGAACUGACUGAAAUUUAUGGUAAUGGAGAAUUUUGGCAGACUAAGUUUCCAAGUGAAGAUAUGUUGCUGGGAGGUUAGCAUUGAUAGAUUAACAGAUUUUAGGAGUACAAGUUGAUUUGUGCUGACUUAAUUUGUUUGGUUAUCAGAGACUUUGGUUGUAUUGUUCUUACAGAUUAUAUAUAUAAUCUUCACAUGUCUAGUAGUUGUUAUUGGCAUGAUCUUGGGUUUAAAACUCAUAAACUGCUCUUCAAAAUGUAUUGCUGAAACUUGUAGCUUCUUUAAUAUGAAAUUUGGUAACUAUUUAACUUUCA